rnacentral:sRNA from 1 species
GCUGGGUGUGGUGACACAUGCCUGUAAUCCCAGUUACUCAGGAGGCUGAGGCAGGAGGAUCAUGGGUUCAAAGCCAUCCUCAGCAGUUUAGUGAGGCACUAAGCAACUCAGUGAGACCCUGUUUGUA